rnacentral:piRNA from 1 species
UACUCUGAUGGGAACAGAUGGGC